rnacentral:tRNA from 1 species
GCCCAGCUAGCUCUGUCGGUAGAGCAUGAGACUCUUAAUCUCAGGAUCAUGGGUUUGAGCCCCACAUUGGGUG